GUCACUUUAGUCUCGGAAGUACGAAAAAUCUACUAAUCACCUAAUUUCACGUGUCCCGUAUAACAACGACUGGCGUUUUUACUUUUUUUAAGCUAACCGCAUAAAAAUUGAUCUCGCGAGCACGAAGCCAUUCAUCAAAAGCCCACGGGAGUCACGUCCGUUUAAUUUUGCAAAUUAAGCGUUUCCCUCGAAACGAAAUCAUUUGGCGUAAUUCCGACUUAGCUGUUUUGGGCACGUAAACCCCAUCAAGACAGCCCCGACAGACUGACGCCUUCCAAAACUCAUUAAUUUUGUUCGAAAGUAACCCUCUAAUAAGAACACCCUGCAUACUCCUUACCAUGUUCAACCCCUUAAAGCGAGCUCCCGUUACAAAGGUCAUCAAGUCAAUGUGUUUUGCCAUUUCCCCGGCGAAAUUGAUCAGCCAUCAAAGCAAGCUUUCAACGACCUUCCAGUUCCAAGAACUCGUCCCUCACACAGACAGACGAAUGGAAAAACGCUCGUAGUAGCACAUUAUAAUUUAAAAAAAUGGCUAACGAGGGAGAGUGAUCCAAAAAUUGAUUUGGCGAAAAGAAUGGAAAACGCGGCACAUCUGGUGUAUAUUACGGGCCACACCUGAUGCAAUAGUAAAUGAUCAAAUUGAAAAUUAUAAUUUGGGAAACGACGUAGUAGUUGUGGAGGGAAGUUAACACCCCCCAGACAUAAGCAUUCGAUGGC